rnacentral:rRNA from 1 species
GUGCACCAGGCGAGAAUUUUUCACAAUGGGGGAAACCCUGAUGGAGCGACGCCGCGUGGAGGAUGAAGGCGUUUUCGUCGUAAACUCCUGUCAAACGGGAACAAGAAAGUGAUAGUACCGUUAGAGGAAGAGGCGGCUAACUCUGUGCCAGCAGCCGCGGUAAUACAGAGGCCUCAAGCGUUGUUCGGAUUCAUUGGGCGUAAAGGGUGCGUAGGUGGCUUGGUAAGUUGAAGGUGAAAUCUCGGGGCUUAACUCCGAAACUGCCUUCAAUACUGCCGAGCUCGAGGAUUGUAGAGGAGAAUGGAAUUCACGGUGUAGCAGUGAAAUGCGUAGAUAUCGUGAGGAAGACCAGUGGCGAAGGCGAUUCUCUGGGCAAUUCCUGACACUGAGGCACGAAGGCUAGGGGAGCAAACGGGAUUAGAUACCCCCGUAGU